AACGAACGCUGGCGGCAUGCCUAACACAUGCAAGUCGAACGAGAUCUUCGGGUCUAGUGGCGCACGGGUGCGUAACGCGUGGGAAUCUGCCCUUUGGUUCGGAAUAACAGUUGGAAACGACUGCUACUCCCGGAUGAUGACGAAAGUCCAAAGAGUUAUCGCCAGGGGAUGAGCCCGCGUAGGCGUAACUGGUUGGUGUGGUAAAGGCACACCAAGGCGACGAUCCUUAGCUGGUCUGAGAGGAUGAUCAGCCACACUGGGACUGAGCCACGACCCGGGCUCCAACUGGAGGCAGGAGUGGUGAAUAUUGGACAAUGGGUGAAAGCCUAAUCCAGCAAUGCCGCGUGUGUGAUGAAGACCUUAUGGUUGUAAAGCUCUUUUUCCCGGGAUGAUAAUGACAGUACCGGGAGAAUAAGCUCCGGCUAUCUCCGUGCCAGCAGCCGCGGUAAAAC
rnacentral:rRNA from 1 species